CAAAGAAUUCUCCUUUUGGGCUUUCUGGUUUCGUUUUAAGCCCAAAGGUGAAUUUUUUGGGA
rnacentral:pre_miRNA from 1 species